rfam:Ictidomys tridecemlineatus contig046842, whole genome shotgun sequence.
UGGGUUAUGGCUCAGUGUUAGAGCUCUUGCCUAGCAUGUGUGAGGCACUGGGUUCAAUCCUCAGUAUCAUAA